GGUACAUUAUUAACUCAUGAUGAGUAAUAUGAGAAUGGUACACACCUGACUCUGCACUCAUUCAUGAUUACUUUACACUGACUGUGGUAGUGUGACUUCAGGCUCGCGAGUUUGUUUAGCUAAUAAAUCAUGCAGCUAACGGUGGCAAGCUAAGACACACGGCUCACCUUAAAGACAGAGAAGACAGAACAUACCUGUGAGUUUACUCCGCCAAGUAACAAAGCGAGGCGUGGUCUGAGACACGUAAAUCACGUCACGCCCCUCUUUACUGACGGAGGGCGGGGAGUUACAUGUGUUUGUAGAUGCAGAUUUCACAGGAUGAACAGUCACAACUGAAAAGCUACAGCAGGGAAGCUUAUGAGGAGGAUGCAGAAAGUCCCAGAGGGAUUUGCCAAAAGUGGUCGAAGCUAUCAUUGUUCCUGCCGUGGCCUGUAUUGCAUCUUGCUUAUUGUGCCUUAUCAUCAGUUAGGUAUAAAGUCAUAUGAAUGUCUCUUGGCACAUUGAUCAUGCUUGUUUGCAGAUUAAAGUUGUCUCUUGU